ensembl:lncRNA
GCUGACUGGUCACGUGACUCUUUUGUUUUCGUUCACUUCCCGCUUGGACACUGACUUAAGUCUUUGAUUUGCCCCAGGUGUUAAUGUUUUAGUUUAAUUAGGUUUGUUAGUUAAACCCCCCGUGUGACUGCGCACAUCGCGCAGUAUUACAGUUGGUUAGUUCGUCAAGUGAGGGAAGUAUCCGGAUAUAUGCUAAUGUGUAGCAUGCUAGCGGUCGUAGCUAGGGGACCAGAGUGAGUAUAGUCCGUAGAGACCGCGCUCCCUGUGUUUGCUUAUCUGUUUGUUUGUUUGUUUGUUUGUUUGUUUGUUUGUUUGUUUGUUUAAGUAAUAAAGACGGUGACCUGCACCUGCAUCCGCCUCCAGUCUCGCCCCGUAACAGAAUACUGUGCCCAAAAUGCGGAAGCAGCAGGUCGCCAUGAGCGCCGCCGAAGAGGCCAGUAUUUGGGCGCUUCUCCGUUCGUCCCUGGAGUUGAGCAAACAGCUCGCGGAGGACAUUUCUCAGUGCAAAGCCAAGCUGCGCGCCGCGUCGUCCCUCGCGCCAUAUACCCCGUCCCCGCCGCCAAGGAGCGACCCCUUGCAACAAAGUAGCCUGAGCAUCUGGGGUUUUCCACUGCAGGGGAGAUGCACCUUGCUGCGCAGUCCAGAGGUGAAGGCUGGCCCAGAAAUUUUUUUGGGGGGGGGCAAUGAGGACAGCAGAGCUCCAGCCUGAGGCCUACGGGGAGGUCUCAGCUGUGGAGUUCUCACCUGAGGUCAACAUGGCGACCUCAGAGGGACAGGCUGAGGAGGCUGUCCCGCUAUCCUGCACGGCUGAGGAAGCUGUCCUGCUGUCCAGCCCAGCUGAGGAGGCCAUCCUGCUGCCCAAUCCAGUUGAGCAGGCCGUCCCGCAACCCUGCAUGGCCGAGGAAGCAGUCCUGCUGCCCAGUCUAGCUGAGGAGGCCGCCCCGCUGCCCCGCCCGGCCGAGGAGGCCGCCCCGCUGCCCCGCCCGGCCGAGGAGGCCGCCCCGCUGCCCCGCCCGGCCGAGGAGGCCGCCCGGCUGCCCCGCCCGGCCGAGGAGGCCGCCCGGCCCUCCAGUGCCGCCGAGGGUGGCACCCAGAGUUCCAGAGCUGCCAGGGAUGGCGCCCAGCAUCCCAGGGGCGGUGUCCUGCGUCCCAGUGCCGCCAGGGGCGGUGCUCUGGCUUUCAACCCCGGUGGGGAUGCUGCUCUGCUCCUCUGCUGCCCGACGGAGGCUGCUUCGCUUUCUGUCGCAGUGAAAGACAGUUCGCACAGGGGCCCGGGACCCCCGUUGGAGGGGGGUUCUUGGUGCUCCGGGAGGAGCACCCUUUGGAGGGGGGUUCUGUUACACCACGGCCAGCAGAGGGCACUGCGGUAUGGCCGCUGACUGGUCACGUGACUCUUUUGUUUUCGUUCACUUCCCGCUUGGACACUGACUUAAGUCUUUGAUUUGCCCCAGGUGUUAAUGUUUUAGUUUAAUUAGGUUUGUUAGUUAAACCCCCCGUGUGACUGCGCACAUCGCGCAGUAUUACAGUUGGUUAGUUCGUCAAGUGAGGGAAGUAUCCGGAUAUAUGCUAAUGUGUAGCAUGCUAGCGGUCGUAGCUAGGGGAAUAGAGUGAGUAUAGUCCGUAGAGACCGCGCUCCCUGUGUUUGCUUAUCUGUUUGUUUGUUUGUUUGUUUGUUUGUUUGUUUGUUUGUUUGAGUAAUAAAGACGGUGACCUGCACCUGCAUCCGCCUCCAG